AUUGAACGCUGGCGGCAUGCCUUACACAUGCAAGUCGAACGGCAGCACGGGAGCAAUCCUGGUGGCGAGUGGCGAACGGGUGAGUAAUAUAUCGGAACGUGCCCAGUCGUGGGGGAUAACGUAGCGAAAGCUACGCUAAUACCGCAUACGAUCUAUGGAUGAAAGCGGGGGAUCGCAAGACCUCGCGCGAUUGGAGCGGCCGAUAUCAGAUUAGGUCGUUGGUGAGGUAAAGGCUCACCAAGCCGACGAUCUGUAGCUGGUCUGAGAGGAUGACCGGCCACACUGGGACUGAGACACGGCCCAGACUCCUACGGGAGGCAGCAGUGGGGAAUUUUGGACAACGAGCGCAAGCCUGAUCCAGCAAUGCCGCGUGCAGGAUGAAGGCCUUCGGGUUGUAAACUGCUUUUGUACGGAACGAAAAGGCGCGGGUUAAUACCCUGUGCCGAUGACGGUACCGUAAGAAUAAGCACCGGCUAACUACGUGCCAGCCGCCGCAGUAAUAC
rnacentral:rRNA from 1 species